UGUAAGUUCAUGGUGUUUGUCCUAUUGUGAAUUGUGAUUAUCGGUACUGCGAUAAAUUCAGAAUACUGUAGUAGAUACCGUUUUGUCAAGAAAGCAGUACUAAACCUACAUAACCUCACUUCUACAUGUAAUGCAGAAAAUGCAAUUUCUCAUAAGAGGUUUAAUAUUUCUGAAUAUAAGGAUAUUAUGAAUGUAGAGACAAAAUGAUGAAUGUCCGGGCGCAACUAAAAAAAAAAAGAAGAAAUCGAGUUAGAAAUUGUGCGAGAUACGCAGAAAUUGGAUGAAUUGACAGAUAAUAAUGUUUAUUUGUCAGGAAGAGAAGACGUAAAAAAACAUGUAUGCAAUUUUGAAGAAAUUAUUAAUAAUGAACCAAAUUGCUUUCAAGUUUUCAGGGCAAGGAAAAAAAUAAGCUCUCUUUUAGUGAACUCACAAUUAACAAGGCUACAAUAUGUACCACACGGAAACGUCACAAAAACGCCACAACUACUGAAAUUUAAAAAAUGGUAGGACCUCAUUAAGCGCAGACAAAAGCAAGAAUGAAUUCUCAUCGAAAAAAACAUGAGGUAUGAUUUUUUUUAUUUUAAUUAAUUAUAUCGCUUUUCAAUGAAUUGGUUAUAGAGCAAAUAAUUAUUAAAUAAAUAUUUCUGUAUAACGAUUGUAAUGUAGCAGAACAUUGUUAAUUCCAUUGACAAUGUAUUUUUAUUUCAUUGUAAGUUGGCAGUGUAGUUUUAUGUUUAAAAAAUUUAUAUUGUGUUUCACAUCAGGUGAUUUUUUAAAUUUAUGCUCUGGUUGCCCAUGAAGCCUAUGCCAGCAGUUUCAGUUUCACUGCUGAGAUAAGUGUCAUGGGUAACUACAGCAGAAAUAAAAAAAAAUCACCUGGUACAAAUUUUCAACGAAUUGGUUCUAGGACAAAUAAUUUUUAAAUGUAUAAAUAUUGCCGCAACGUUUCAAAUACACUGUUAUUUCCAGUGACAAUGUUUUUUUGUGUUUAAUAAAUUUUAUAUUGUAUUCCA